rnacentral:rRNA from 1 species
GCAAGCGUUGCUCGGAAUUACUGGGCGUAAAGCGCACGUAGGCGGCUUUCUAAGUCGGGGGUGAAAUCCUGGAGCUCAACUCCAGAACUGCCUUCGAUACUGGAGAGCUUGAGUCCGGGAGAGGUGAGUGGAACUGCGAGUGUAGAGGUGAAAUUCGUAGAUAUUCGCAAGAACACCAGUGGCGAAGGCGGCUCACUGGCCCGGUACUGACGCUGAGGUGCGAAAGCGUGGGGAGCAAACAGG